UGGGGAAUCUUGCGCAAUGGGCGAAAGCCUGACGCAGCGACGCCGCGUGUGGGAUGACGGCCUUCGGGUUGUAAACCACUGUCGGGAGGGACGAAAAAAAUGACGGUACCUCCAAAGUAAGCACCGGCUAACUCUGUG
rnacentral:rRNA from 1 species